rnacentral:rRNA from 2 species
AGGCAGUGGCAGACGGGUGAGUAAUGCAUGGGAAUCUACCGUUCUCUACGGAAUAACUCAGGGAAACUUGUGCUAAUACCGUAUACGCCCUUUUGGGGAAAGAUUUAUCGGAGAAUGAUGAGCCCAUGUUGGAUUAGCUAGUUGGUAGGGUAAAGGCCUACCAAGGCGACGAUCCAUAGCUGGUCUGAGAGGAUGAUCAGCCACACUGGGACUGAGACACGGCCCAGACUCCUACGGGAGGCAGCAGUGGGGAAUAUUGGACAAUGGGCGCAAGCCUGAUCCAGCCAUGCCGCGUGAGUGAUGAAGGCCCUAGGGUUGUAAAGCUCUUUCACCGGUGAAGAUAAUGACGGUAACCGGAGAAGAAGCCCCGGCUAACUUCGUGCCAGCAGCCGCGGUAAUACGAAGGGGGCUAGCGUUGUUCGGAUUUACUGGGCGUAAAGCGCACGUAGGCGGACUUUUAAGUCAGGGGUGAAAUCCCGGGGCUCAACCCCGGAACUGCCUUUGAUACUGGAAGUCUUGAGUAUGGAAGAGGUAAGUGGAAUUGCGAGUGUAGAGGUGAAAUUCGUAGAUAUUCGCAGGAACACCAGUGGCGAAGGCGGCUUACUGGUCCAUUACUGACG